rnacentral:rRNA from 1 species
AGUAGUUUGAUCCUGGCUACGAGGACGAACGCUGGCGGCGUGCUUAACACAUGCAAGUCGAACGGAAAGGCUCCUGCUUGCAGGGGUACUCGAGUGGCGAACGGGUGAGUAACACGUGGGUGAUCUGCCUUGUACUCUGGGAUAAGCUUGGGAAACUGGGUCUAAUACCGGAUAGUAGCUGCCUUUAGUGUGGUGGUUGGAAAGUUUUUUCGGUGCAAGAUGAGCUCGCGGCCUAUCAGCUUGUUGGUGGGGUAAUGGCCUACCAAGGCGUCGACGGGUAGCCGGCCUGAGAGGGUGUACGGCCACAUUGGGACUGAGAUACGGCCCAGACUCCUACGGGAGGCAGCAGUGGGGAAUAUUGCACAAUGGGCGGAAGCCUGAUGCAGCGACGCCGCGUGGGGGAUGACGGCCUUCGGGUUGUAAACUCCUUUCGACAGGGACGAAGCUUUUGUGACGGUACCUGUAUAAGAAGCACCGGCUAACUACGUG